rnacentral:rRNA from 1 species
UACGUAGGGUCCGAGCGUUGUCCGGAAUUAUUGGGCGUAAAGAGCUCGUAGGUGGCUUGUCGCGUCUGCCGUGAAAGCCCGCGGCUUAACUGCGGGUCUGCGGUGGAUACGGGCAGGCUAGAGGCUGGUAGGGGCAAGCGGAAUUCCUGGUGUAGCGGUGAAAUGCGCAGAUAUCAGGAGGAACACCGGUGGCGAAGGCGGCCAGCUGGGCCGUCCCUGACGCUGAGGCGCGAAGGCGUGGGGAGCGAACGGG